GACGAACGCUGGCGGCGUGCUUAACACAUGCAAGUCGAACGAUGAAACCUAGCUUGCUAGGUCGAUUAGUGGCGAACGGGUGAGUAACACGUGACUAACCUGCCCCUUUCUCUGGGAUAACGCUCCGAAAGGAGUGCUAAUACCGGAUACUCACAUCGAGGCACAUGCCUUGCUGUGGAAAGUUUUUCGGAAAGGGAUGGAGUCGCGGCCUAUCAGCUUGUUGGUGAGGUAACGGCUCACCAAGGCGACGACGGGUAGCCGGCCUGAGAGGGCGAGCGGCCACACUGUGACUGAGACACGGCCCAGACUCCUACGGGAGGCAGCAGUGGGGAAUAUUGCACAAUGGGCGCAAGCCUGAUGCAGCGACGCCGCGUGAGGGAUGAAGGUCUUCGGAUUGUAAACCUCUUUCAGUAGGGACGAAGCGAAAGUGACGGUACCUAAAGAAGAAGCACCGGCUAACUACGUGCCAGCCGCCGCGGUAA
rnacentral:rRNA from 1 species